rnacentral:rRNA from 1 species
CACCGCGGUUAUACGAGAGGCCCAAGUUGAUAAAUAUUCGGCGUAAAGAGUGGUUAAGUUGAUAUUAGACUAAAGCUGAAACCCCCUCAAAGCUGUUAUACGUACUCGAGGAUAAGAAGCACUAACACGAAAGUAGCUUUAAAACUCCUGACUCCACGAAAGCUGUGAAA